GUCUCUGGGCUGUUACUGACGCUGAGGAGCGAAAGCAUGGGGAGCGAACAGGAUUAGAUACCCUGGUAGUCCAUGCCGUAAACGUUGGGCACUAGUGUGGGGGACAUUCCACGUUUUCCGCGCCGUAGCUAACGCAUUAAGUGCCCCGCCUGGGGAGUACGGCCGCAAGGCUAAACUCAAAGGAAUUGACGGGGCCCGCACAAGCGGCGGAGCAUGCGGAUUAAUUCGAUGCACGCGAGACUUACC
rnacentral:rRNA from 1 species